UACGAAGGGGGCUAGCGUUGCUCGGAAUUACUGGGCGUAAAGCGCACGUAGGCGGAUUGUUAAGUCGGGGGUGAAAUCCCGGAGCUCAACUCCAGAACUGCCUUCGAUACUGGCGAUCUCGAGUUCGGGAGAGGUGAGUGGAACUGCGAGUGUAGAGGUGAAAUUCGUAGAUAUUCGCAAGAACACCAGUGGCGAAGGCGGCUCACUGGCCCGAUACUGACGCUGAGGUGCGAAAGCGUGGGGAGCAAACAGG
rnacentral:rRNA from 1 species